AUUGAACGCUGGCGGCAGGCCUAACACAUGCAAGUCGAACGAGUGGCGGACGGGUGAGUAAUGUCUGGGAAACUGCCCGAUGGAGGGGGAUAACUACUGGAAACGGUAGCUAAUACCGCAUACCAUCGGAUGUGCCCAGAUGGGAUUAGCUUGUAGGUGGGGUAACGGCUCACCUAGGCGACGAUCCCUAGCUGGUCUGAGAGGAUGACCAGCGAAACGGGAAUUGAGCAACGGUCCAGACGCCUACGGGAGGCAGAAGUGGUGAAUAUUGCACAAUGGGCGCAAGUCUGAUGCAGCCAUGCCGCGUGGAUGAAGAAGGCCUUCGGGUUGUAAAGUACUUUCAGCGGGGCGGCGUUACCCGCAGAAGAAGCACCGGCUAACUCCGGGCCAGCAGCCGCGGUAAUAC
rnacentral:rRNA from 1 species